UACGGAGGGGGCUAGCGUUGUUCGGAAUUACUGGGCGUAAAGCGAACGUAGGCGGCUUUGUAAGUUAGAGGUGAAAGCCCAGGGCUUAACCCUGGAAUUGCCUUUAAGACUGCAUCGCUAGAAUCGUGGAGAGGUAAGUGGAAUUCCGAGUGUAGAGGUGAAAUUCGUAGAUAUUCGGAAGAACACCAGUGGCGAAGGCGACUUACUGGACACGUAUUGACGCUGAGGUGCGAAAGCGUGGGGAGCAAACAGG
rnacentral:rRNA from 1 species